GACGUAGGGGGCCAGCGUUGUUCGGAAUUACUGGGUGUAAAGGGUUCGUAGGCGGUGCGGCAAGUUGGGAGUGAAAUCUCUGGGCUUAACCCAGAGGCUGCUUCCAAAACUGCUGUGCUUGAGUGUGGGAGAGGCGCGUGGAAUUGCAGGUGUAGCGGUGAAAUGCGUAGAUAUUGGGAGGAACACCAGUGGCGAAGGCGGCUCGCUGGACCGGUUCUGACGCUGAGGAACGAAAGCUAGGGGAGCAAACAGG
rnacentral:rRNA from 1 species